GUUCAGCUCAGAGAAGCAUGAGAUCUCUUGGAAAGAUAGGACUCUGUUCUGACCAUCUCUGUAUUCCCUGUGUCCAGCAAGAUCUCCGGCACAAAAUAUGUGUCCGGUAAAACUGUGUUGAAUGAAGAAAUGAAGUGAAUGAAUGACGGUAAAGGAGCACAUUACAGAGGACACCAAAGAAAUUCAGUGUCUCCAAGAUCCACCAUUAUAAAGAGAAAAAUCACAGAAAGCUAUGAGAAAUAACCAAAGAGAAACAGAACAGUGUUUAUCUCCAUCAGGAAGCAUCUGGAACGGCUUAUUAGAGAUUCCCAGCUGCAGCACUUCAGCUCUCCCACGUUCACCCUGACCGUGCUCACUGGCUACUGCCCCAGAAACAGGCCUUGAAUUCCAAGCCUGUCCGCCCCGCCGCAGCCAGCCUGGUCCCGGGAUGCAAGGACGCAGAGUCCCGCGAGGCUGAUACCUUCACGAUGACAGCUUUGCGUCCGGAGUAGCGUCCAGCCAGGACAAGCACCACCUUCCCAGGUUUCAUGAACUUGCCCAUUUCUGCAGAGAGCAAGGAGAAAGGGCCACUUAAAAAUCCGUAAAGCCAAAGAUGCCCAGAGCUGACUCCUGCCAGCAAGCCCAGGUCUUGCGCCGGAACUUCAGACUGUGUUCACUGUCGCCUUGGUCCAGGCCGCCCGAGGGCCCUGCUCGCAGGACAGGAUCGGAUACGUAGCCGCCAGAGACCUAGGGAAGGAAUGCACCCGGCGCCGCCCGGACCUUCGACCCCCAAGCCGCGGAUGGCAGCGGAUUGAAAGAUUCAACCCAUGCUUCUACUUACCGGCAGCAACCACCCGGGCCUACAGCAAAAAGGAAAGAAGGACACUUCCGCUAACCUUUCACCCCGGUGAGGAGUGACCUCACUUCCUGUCCCGCCCUUCAGGCUUCGCCACGCUGAUUGUGUGGUGCUGAGUCUCGUGUUGCGGGCGGAAGAAGCUCAUGAGGGAAACGCCGGGCGCGGCAGCUCAAGUAUUCGAAUGAAGCUUUAUUAGCAGCUCCAGCAGUAGACAAGAGCAAAGGAGACUCCUCCCGGCCAACGGAAGAGCUGGGAGGGCGACUGUGCUGUGCGCUCUGGACUCAGCAGCUAGGCUUUGUUGUAGUUCCUUUCUCUGGCGCUAGGAGGGGGAACACAAUCUGAAAUUUACUUUUUCUCUUGGGAGACACAGGGAAAAAAAUAGGGCAUUUAUUGGUGCCUGUCGGGGGCACUGUUAGCUAAAGAGGGAGGGACAAAGAUCAGUAAGGGUGGCUGGUCCGAUAGUAGUGGGUUAUCAGAACUUAUCAACGUUAGGGUCACUAAAGUUGGUAUACAACCCCCCACUGCUAAAUUUGGUUUUAAAAAAACAAACAAAAAGGAUAUUUACCCCCAA